rnacentral:tRNA from 1 species
CAAUCUUGAUGGGAUUCAAACCCACAAUCUAUGGCUCCAGAGGCCAACAUCUUAUCCGUUGAGCCACAGGAUC